UCCUCAGCGGAGUCUCCCAAGAGCCCGUCACGAGGCCCAGUCAUUUCCUCAUUGCGCAGAAGGGGAAGCUGAGGCUCAGGGCCUCCCCUGCAGUCGCCAGCUAGAGAGAGGCUGAGCAUCGCCCAGGACCCCUGUCUCUCCGGCCCGGGGUCAUUCUGCCCAGUGUCCCACAUUGCAACCUCCUGGAGCUCAGGGCUCCUGUCUCUCCUGGGGCCUGCCCCAUUCUGGCCUCCAGCCCUCACUGAACUCGAGGCCCAGGGCCAUCCCGUUUGCCUGGGGCUGGGGUGGUGACCAGGUUGGCCAGCCACAGACACUGUGGGCUCUCCGAGGACCAGGACCAGCCUAUCCCCCCACAGGAUGAGGUCUCUCUGGGCACCAGCACCAAAGAUUGUCAGGACUUUAGGGAUAAGAGGUCGUUCCUGGUCAGGGGGGCCAUGGGGCCUAACAGGCACUGGCUUCCAGUCCUGGCUCUGCUCCUCUGUUGGGCACAGAGGGACCCAGUCUCUUUAAGCCUCGCUUUCCUCAUCAGUGAAUUGAAGGCCAGAAUCCCUCAUGCCCCACUGGGCUGCCAGGAGGAUUCGGAGAGACAGCUCAUGUGGCGAACAGAGGUGUGGUCCGAGCUCAUGCCCAGGAGCCGAUCCUGCUGACGUCACCCCCAGGAGAGCCCCUGAGGCCCUUGGCCUCUGCCCACUCUGUUCUCCCACCAGGCAUGCCCAACUCGCUCUGACUCCUUUGUUCCUCUGGAAUAACUUUCUCCACCCCAUCCGGUGCCAUGACGGUCUGCCAGUCCGGGUGGGAUCCAGGCCCCCGGCCCAGUUCUCCUCCUGGGAUUCCUCAUCAUGGGAGUUAGUAGCUGUGGAGCUCUUCAAAGGAGCAGCCACUCCAAGUGCAGCCUCCGUGAACUUGUCUCACACCACCACGGCAGGCUCACAGCAGAGAAGGAGACCUCGAAGGUCAGAGAGUGACCGACAGCGGAACACCGUGUUGACAUCAUGCACCAGAAUCUCCCCCUCUGGGGAUAUGUCCUCCAGGAUCAGAGAUUGAGGGAGGCUGAUGUUCCCCUCAGCGUGAGGAGGGGAGAGGAAAGUCAGAAACGGGGCACGUUCCACAUCGGGGCCAUUUGGAAAUUCGGAAGCCGGGAUAUCCAAAAGGAAGAGUGUUGUCUGACCAGGGUCCGCCCCUGAAGAAAUCAGAUCCAGAGGAGCACACGCCCUGCAGGCCUCCGCACUCAGCACCCACAGGAUGCACGCACUCUCAUGCACACACCGGCAUAUCCAUGUGCACACACGCAGCACAGGUGUGAACAUGCAUCACCCCACACACAUGCACCCCCGCGCACGGGCACACGGGCACACACACACACAUGCCCGCGCGCACACACAUGUGGACACCAAGGGAAAGGACUGGAAAGGUGAAGACCACCUGUGAAGGGCACUCCUGAGUUGCCGCUUCCUUAAUUCUUCAGUCUCUUAAAAUUCAUUCUUUUACUACAAUAAACGUUCAUUGUCUUGGAACAGAAAUCUUCAAAAAUAGAAACUAAAGAAUGUACUUUAUUCCAAAGGUGGAUCAUCAAUGGAUUUCAUUGAAGCUGUGAUAUUCACCUUUUUAGAAUUAGGAAAGGAAUACACGCACAUUCUAAGAAGUUUCAACAUCCCACCGGGAGCAGAUGAGAGACUGGAAAGUCGCGAGCCCCGUGAACAGUUUGGUGCAUAUCUCCCUGGCGCGGUUGCUCUCAUUCUGUCUCCUUCUGUCUGUCUCUCUCUCACACGCACAUUCAUUUUCAUAGAUGUCUGUCUCCCUGUUGAUGUCACAUAUCCGUGUUCUGACGGAUGGGCCGCAUGGGUCCCAUUGCCUCUCCAUGAACCUGAGUUGUGUUCCCAGCUCCCAGCCAUUGCAACCAGUGCUGUCAUGACUACUCUUGAAAAGAUAUCUUGGAAACCUUGGGCAAGACCUCCUGUGGGCCACACUCCUGGCAUUCGCACUGCCAGCAAAGGUGGGGUCCUGGGGAACUUGGAAGGGUCCUGCAGGCUAUUCUCCCAGAGAGCAGUGCCCUUUCCCCCUGCUCUCUAGGGAUCUACGGGGGCCUCUGCUUCCCCAAAUUCUCACCAGGGCUGGCCGCAACCAGACCAGAAACGUGCCAGUCUGCUUGUGACCAAUGCCGUCUCCAUGGUGUUUACGUUUGCACGUGUCCUCUAGGGGGAGGUCGAGCAUCUCUGACAUGCCGUCGCCUCUCGGGGGAAUUGCAUGUGUUUACUCUCUGUCCCUUGAAAACAACGACUUUCGGGAGUUCUUUGGUCCAGAGGGAGGUUGCACCUUUCUCUCACCUUGGUUUAGGAGGAAUGCUUUCGAGGUUCUGGUUUGUCUUUCCAGCUGUCUCCCUUUUUCUUGUUUGUGUUUUGGCCACAGGAAGAACCAGGCACUUCCUGUGUGGCUUGUGGCUCUGGUGUCCCCCUUAGAAGAGCGGUCUGUAGCCUGACAUAAUGCACAUGUUUACUAAAAGGGCUUCAUUUGAAGCAUCUAAUCCAUAAGCCUUUGGGACUUUCCUAUCAGCUGGGAAAAAUGCUAUUCAAGUAGAAAGAGAAAUGAAAAAUCGAUCAGUGCUUCUGAAAAUAUGGAAGCACACUAGGAUGGCCACCUAUUGCAUGACACCGCUUAUCGGAUACAUCC